UACGUAGGGUGCAAGCGUUAAUCGGAAUUACUGGGCGUAAAGCGUGCGCAGGCGGUUAUGUAAGACAGAUGUGAAAUGCCCGGGCUUAACCUGGGAACUGCAUUUGUGACUGCAUGGCUAGAGUUUGGCAGAGGGGGGUAGAAUUCCACGUGUAGCAGUGAAGUGCGUAGAGAUGUGGAGGAACACCGAUGGCGAAGGCAGCCCCCUGGGUCAAGAUUGACGCUCAUGCACGAA
rnacentral:rRNA from 1 species